UAUUUUUAAAGGGCCGCGGUAUACUGACCGUGCGAAGGUAGCAUAAUCAUUAGUCUUUUAAUUGGAGGCUUGUAUGAAUGGUUGGACAAAAAGUAAUCUGUCUCAGUUAUAAUAGUUGAACUUAACUUUUAAGUGAAAAGGCUUAAAUACUUUAAGGGGACGAUAAGACCCUAUAAAACUUAACAAUAAUUUAAUUAAAUUAUAAAUUGUUAGUAUAACUUGAUUUUAAUUAAUGUUUGUUGCGUUGGGGCGACGGGAAUAUAAUUAGUAACUGUUCUUAAAUAUUUUAUUAACAAGUAUAAUUGAAGAAUAAUUGAUCCUUUAUUAAAGAUUAAAAGAUUAAGUUACUUUAGGGAUAACAGCGUAAUCUUCUUUGAGAGUCCUCAUCGACAAGAAGGUUUGCGACCUCGAUGUUGAAUUAAGGUAUCCUUAUAAUGCAG
rnacentral:rRNA from 1 species